UUUCGGCUGUAAGACUGUCCAGUUAAGAAAUUGCUAAAAAUAAUUGCGAAGGGUGUCAGGUGGUUAAAAGUAAACAUAUUGUAGUCAUAGAAUGAGUGAGUUAAGAAACAAAAGUUAAAAAAGAAAAAGAGACGUUGUUUUAGGGUUCACAUGCAUAUGUGCUCCAUAUGAAAAUUUUUCCAUAUUUGUUGAGCAUUUUCUUAUAUUCGCCGCACAAUGUCUGCUCUAUUCUUCUACGUAAGUAGUUCGUUCUAUGACUUGUACGAAUUCACUACUGCUUUUGUGCGUUGCGGUUACAAUGUAGAAAGAAGUUUAUGUUAUUUAAAACAUAAAAAGCGAUUGCAAUUAUUCCGAUAUUAUUGUCGGCAAUAUUGGAUUAAUAAAUGCAAAGAAAUCUAUCGGUAUCGAAGACAAAAACAAGUGCAAAAAUUUUCCGAACAAAAGUCGUAUAUUAAUUUAAGAAAAAUCAUGCAACGUUCGAGCAUCGAUUUUGAUGACAGCGACAUGAUUGAAGAAGGCUUCGAAUGCACCGAUUCGUUUGGCAUGGAUGACGGUGACGGCAAUUUUGAAACCUUUCCAGAGCUGGAUUUCGAGAAUAUCGACGUACAUUCUUUGGACGAAUGUACGAGCGUGCUUAGUGAUGGCAAGGAAGAGCUAGUCUAUUACAAUCCCCGUUUGAUACGUCUGCGCGAGGGAGUCAGCUUAACGGUGAAUGGUGUUACAAAACCCUAUUGCGAAAGAUUUUCUAUAAAUUUAGUUAUUGAGAAUAGCAGCCGAGAUAUUGCGUUGCACAUUAAUCCGCGUUUACCUCAAGGUUAUAUUGUACGAAAUUCAAAAGUCCACGGCAUUUGGGGCGAUGAGGAAAAAGCCUCCCCUUUACCUUUUAACCUGAAACGUGAUCGUAAAUUUUCAAUACAAAUUCUUUUCACGGAAGUUUGUUAUAUGAUCAGCGUGAACGGGUAUCAUUUUUGCAAAUUCCCUCACCGCCUGCCGUAUCGUGAUGUUGGAACGCUUGAAGUGAAGGGUGACAUAGACGACAUUAGAGUGGAGCGUAUGGAAGUACGAAACUAUCCGGAUCGAUUACCUCAAACCAAGCCGGCGGUGAUAAAACUUGGACUGCCUUUAAAAUCGAUCUACCAGGGUAAUUUUGACGAAGGAGACGGCGACACAAUUAAAGUGCCAAGACAAUGGCGUAGAAUAUCGAUGCCAACACGUGUAACUUUAGCAUUGAUACGAGAUAAAAGUGAGGAAAGCGAAAUACCUUUACCCUUUUACGGAAUACUUCCGAAGGGUGGCUUUACAUUAGGGCGAGUCUUAAAAAUCGAGGGAAGAAUAAAAUUGCUGCCCCACUCAUUCUAUGUUAAUUUGCAAAGUGGCUGUGAUGUCUGGCCUCAUCCCACGGUGGCGUUUCACUUAAAUCCACGCUUUGCCAAGCAACAUGGAGGAAUUGUUGGACGUACGACUUUGGUGCGUAAUGCGUGGAUGGAAGGUUCUUGGGGUUUGGAGGAUCGUUCCGAUAUCGAUACCGAAUUUCGUCCCGGCAAAGCUUUUAGUAUGUGCAUAGUUAGCACACAAGCGUCAUUUCAAAUUUAUCUAAAUCAUCGCUUCAUAACUGAAUUUAAAUAUCGUGUCGGUCCACAUGUGAUUGAUACAGUCUAUAUACAGGGUGACAUUAAGCUAUGGGAUGUGAUGUUAGCUAAUGAGCUUUCGUUUGAAGCUAUAAAACCGGCACGCAAAAUCGCUUUCGCAAACACAAAUCCUUCAGAGCGAAAAUACGAUAGACGAGUAAUCGGAUGACCGAGUUUCGCAACGUUUUUAACCCUUAACGAAAACGGUAAAAUAGAAAAAGGAAAGUUAUUUACUUUAAAGGACAAAACGUUAGAAGACGUUGAAUAUUCGAAUUGAAGCGAGGAGAGGAAAGAAUUAAGCAGCAACUUCUACGACAAUUCCAUAUAUUUAAGUGAUGCCUACGAUACUACCAGACCUUCCGCACAAUUUCUAACUCGAAAUUCGACCCCGGCUGCAGAUUAGUAGUUACUAACGAAGACAACUCCACGUCAUC